rnacentral:rRNA from 1 species
CACGUAGGGGGCGAGCGUUGUCCGGAAUCAUUGGGCGUAAAGAGCUCGUAGGCGGCUCGGUAAGUCGGGUGUGAAACCCCCCAGGCUCAACCUGGGGACGCCACCCGAUACUGCUGUGGCUAGAGUCCGGUAGGGGAGUGUGGAAUUCCCGGUGUAGCGGUGAAAUGCGCAGAUAUCAGGAAGAACACCAAUGGCGAAAGCAGCUUUCUGGGACGGUACUGACGCUGAGACGCGAAAGCGUGGGGAUCAAACAGG